CUCCUCUCGAUCCCCUCGAUCUUCCUGACGCACUGACGCAGCCGCCGCUGCUGCAAGAUUGCAAAUCAGUCUGGAGAGGACCUUGCGUGAGCUCGCUGCCGCGUCGGUCUCCUCCUAGGGCGACACCGGGGCGCCCCCCCAACCCUAGCCGCCACAGACCCCACCACAACCGCGCCGCCGCCGCCGGCGGUGGCGAAGGCGGCUCCUCAAAGCAGGGACGCGUCUCCCGUCGGAAUCCAAGUCCGUUCGCGCGAGCUUCUCCGCCCCUCAAUCCGAUCUUCACCUUCGCUCAUGGUGGCCAUCAGCUGGCAUCCCACCAGCGGCCAGCUUGAUCUGCGCGGCAGUCGAUGACCGCCGUUGGGCCUGCUUGCGGCGCACAGAUCAGGUCGCGCGCGACGGCUACAUCAUCGCCGGAUCUGUCCUUUCGUCCGACCGCGACCCCAACCCCAGGGCCCUCCUCCACCGCCCGCUUCCCCCACUCCCGCUUGACUCCACGGGGGGCGCCGGUGGCGACGCUCUGCCCGGAGUUCCGCGGAUCUGCGUGUGCCAGCCGCUGUGCUCUGUCGGCCCUGGCCCGCGCUGUGGUUGCCCUUGGCUCGUCACCAGGCUCCUGUGUGGCUUGCUCUCGCACGUCCAGAUGCACCAUCGCCGGGUUCCCUGUUGCCCCUCAGAUAUGAUAAAUGCAUCCACCCAUCGCAUCCAUUGGCUUGGGUACCUGCUGACCUUCUGCUGCUCUGUCUCCGGGAGAAAUCCCUUCGCUAGCUCCUUGCUAGAUUGGCCGACAACUUGUCGGUUUGUUGCUCUUCCCUUACAAGCAUGGUCUAAACAAUGGUGGCUUCACCCUUGCUUGUGCCUCAACCCACAUGGUCAUCUUUGAGACGUGGUAUUCAGUCACAUGACAGAGUUCUCUUUGUCCUUGAGGUCAGGUGCGACAACUAGCGACACGUGCUGGAGCUUUUGGCGUCGCUGGCGGCGGCAUCACCUGCAUCCACCUCUCCCUGGUCGCCUUCGAGAGUGUGUGCGGCCGACCGUCAAGCUUGUGAUGACACACUUUGAAUUUCCGAGCAAGUCGCAACCUUUUCAGAUUCAUCAACACAGCUUUGGACAAAAACGUCUAUGCUCAACACAGCUGGUUCCCCCAAGUUCAGCAGUGACCGUAUGAUACACAGUACGCAAAAGAUAUAUGGGAUAUCAUCCCCGUCAUCAUGCUCUGAAUAAUUUAAGUAGUUUACAGAAACCUUGAGUCUGUGAGGCGCAAUCGGUCACAGAUUUGCCUCUACUCCUCAUUGGGAAGGUGUUGCUGCCCCCAGCUUUGUAUAGGAACAUGCAAGUUCUGACAUGGACCUGAGAGCUGAGAACAUGCAGGGUGAUAUGUAUGAAGGAAAAAAGCCAGAGCAGCGCUUGGAUAAAAGUCAGUGUUGGAAUUUUUUUGGCAGAUGCGGAAAUCUUGGUAAAGGUAAGUUCGGUCUUUCACUCGCUCACCAUGUUUUUUUUGGUCUGCAUUAUUUUUCUAAUCUACAUUUCAGGAGUGGCUAUAGUCAAUGCUUUCAUGUACAUGAUCGGUAUGAACUUUUCAUCAUAGCUUGGACAUAUCUCUUUUCACACGCGAUCUUAUUUACUUGAAAAAUAAGUUAUAUACUCUGGGUAAUAAUUUGAUGAGUAAGCCAUUUCAAUAAUUCUAUUUGUUUCAGGCAUUGGUAGAUUGUGGUACAACUGAAGAGUUUCUUGUGCUAAUACUUGCAGAUCUCGACACACCCGGAACAAUGAGCACAUGUUACCAGCCACAUUCAGGAUGUGUUCUUUUCAAAACAAAGAUACCCUGAUGCAUGACAAAGUUGUAGCGUUAAUCUCAAAAAAUUAUGCUUCUGUAGUAUGCAGUAUACACUAUAAACCUAAGAGUGGGUAGCUUCAGCUUGCUUCUGUAUUAUGCUUUCUCAUUGAUAACCUAGCCCAUGCUUGAUUAUAGUACACAUUAUUCCUGUUGAAAGCUACUCCCUCUGUCCCAAAAUUCUUGUCUUAGAUUUGUUUUUUUAAAUAUUAUAAAUUACGCGCGCCCGCGAGGAUUGUCUUAGAUUUGUCUAAAUACGGAUGUAUCAAGUCACAUUUUAGGUUCAUCUGUAUCUAGACAAAUCUAAGACAAGAAUUUUGAGACGGAGGGUGUAUAUUAAAUCCUAACUUUUGACUCUUCUGAUAAUGAAGUGAAGGUGCAGAACCGCAUCUUCCAUUGACACAAAAAAUAUAUUUAAAUAUUAUGAUUUUUAUUUUUUAUAAUGUUCUAAAUGUAUUUUUCUCAGGAUAAGGACGCACACGGCGGCGACGUUAGUAGGAGCGUAACAAACAAGAAGGGCGGGCGUGGCAAUGGCCAUUCAUGUGUCAGACGAAAAUAGUACACCCACAUGUGUGACGAGGCUGGACUUGACAUAUGCAUCAGCGAGCAUGGUGAUGAGGUGAGAGUUGGAAGCGUGGAUGUACUUGACAAGGACCAAGUAGAUGCGAGCAAGCAUAUGGUGGGCAAUGUCGACGAUGGUCGCGUCGAUGAGAAGACCGAAGAGGAAGGCUUAAUGUAAUUAGCCAGUGUCUUUGGACAGGUUGUCGACAGAUAAAAGUUCUAUAGUUUGGCUUGAGGAGUAACAUAGAUAGGCAUGCUGGUGCUAUAAGGCUAUAUCUCUCUUCGUGGACAAGAGCAUACAAUGCUUCAAGUUUCAUGGAAGUUUUAUAAAUUCUAUUAUGAGGCUCAAUCUGAAAUAAAAUGGUGUCUUGCUUUACCAA